ensembl:snoRNA U3 Small nucleolar RNA U3
AAGACUAUACUUUCAGGGAUCAUUUCUAUAGUUUGUUACAUCCAAGUCCUUGAUCCACUUGGAAUUUACUUUUGCAUUUGGUGAAAUACAG